UACAUGGGGUGCAAACGUUGCUCGGAAUUACUGGGCGUAAAGCGUGCGUAGACGGUUGCGUAAGUCAGAUGUGAAAGCCCCGGGCUCAACCUGGGAAUUGCAUUUGAGACUGCGUAGCUAGGGUGCGGAAGAGGGAAGCGGAAUUUCCGGUGUAGCGGUGAAAUGCGUAGAUAUCGGAAGGAACACCAGUGGCGAAAGCGGCUUCCUGGUCCAGCACCGACGUUCAGGCACGAAAGCGUGGGGAGCAAACAGG
rnacentral:rRNA from 1 species